UGGGGAAUAUUGGGCAAUGGGGCGAAAGCCUGACCCAGCGACGCCGCGUGAAGGAAGAAGGCCCUCGGGUUGUAAACUUCAGUCAACAGGGAAGAAACAAAUGACGGUACCUGUGGAGGAAGCCACGGCUAACUACGUGCCAGCAGCCGCGGUGAUACGUAGGUGGCAAGCGUUAUCCGGAUUUACUGGGUGUAAAGGGCGUGUAGGCGGAGGAGCAAGUCAGAUGUGAAAUCCCGGGGCUUAACCCGGAACUGCAUUUGAAACUGUUUCCCUUGAGUAUCGGAGAGGCAAGCGGAAUUCCUAGUGUAGCGGUGAAAUGCGUAGAUAUUAGGAGGAACACCAGUGGCGAAGGCGGCUUGCUGGACGACAACUGACGCUGAGGCGCGAAAGCGUGGGGAGCAAACAGGAUUAGAUACCCUGGUAGU
rnacentral:rRNA from 1 species